GUAGGACUACCCGCUGAACUUAAGCAUAUCAAUAAGCGGAGGAAAAGAAACUAACAAGGAUUCCCCUAGUAACGGCGAGUGAACCGGGAAGAGCUCAAAUUUGAAAUCUGGCGUCCUCAGGGCGUCCGAGUUGUAAUCUAUAGAGGCGUUUUCCGUGCCGGACCGUGUCCAAGUCCCUUGGAACAGGGUAUCAAAGAGGGUGACAAUCCCGUACUUGACACGACUACCGGUGCUCUGUGAUACGUCUUCUACGAGUCGAGUUGUUUGGGAAUGCAGCUCAAAAUGGGUGGUGAGUUCCAUCUAAAGCUAAAUAUUGGCGAGAGACCGAUAGCGAACAAGUACCGUGAGGGAAAGAUGAAAAGCACUUUGGAAAGAGAGUUAAACAGUACGUGAAAUUGUUGAAAGGGAAACGAUUGAAGUCAGUCGUGACCGAGAGGCUCAGCCGGCUCUGCCGGUGUAUUCCCCUCGGUCGGGUCAACAUCAGUUUUGUCCGGUGGAUAAGGGCGGCAGGAAUGUGGCACCCUCGGGUGUGUUAUAGCCUGCUGUCGCAUACACCGGGUGAGACUGAGGAACGCAGCUCGCCUUUAUGGCCGGGGC
rnacentral:rRNA from 1 species